CGGAGGAAAAGAAACUAACAAGGAUUCCCCUAGUAACGGCGAGUGAAGCGGGAUGAGCUCAAAUUUGUAAUCUGGUGGACUCAGUUCAUCCGAGUUGUAAUCUAUAGAAGUGUUUUCCGCGCUGGACCGUGUCUAAGUCCCUUGGAACAGGGUGUCAGAGAGGGUGAGAAUCCCGUGCUUGAUACGACCACCAGUGCUAUGUGAUACACUUUCAACGAGUCGAGUUGUUUGGGAAUGCAGCUCAAAAUGGGUGGUAAAUUCCAUCUAAAGCUAAAUAUUGGCGAGAGACCGAUAGCGAACAAGUACCGUGAGGGAAAGAUGAAAAGCACUUUGGAAAGAGAGUUAAACAGUACGUGAAAUUGUUAAAAGGGAAACGAUUGAAGUCAGUCGUGCUCUCUGGGACUCAGCCGGUUCUUCCGGUGUACUUCCCAGUGAGCGGGUCAACAUCAGUUUAGAUCGCUGGAUAAAGGUAUUAGGAAGGUGGCUCCCUCGGGAGUGUUAUAGCCUAGUAUCGCAUACAGUGGUUUAGACUGAGGAACGCAGCUCGCCUUUAUGGCCGGGGUUCGCCCACGUCCGAGCUUAGGAUGUUGACAUAAUGGCUUUAAACGACCCGU
rnacentral:rRNA from 1 species